rnacentral:rRNA from 1 species
ACUCCUACGGGAGGCAGCAGUGGGGAAUAUUGCACAAUGGGCGCAAGCCUGAUGCAGCCAUGCCGCGUGUGUGAAGAAGGCCUUCGGGUUGUAAAGCACUUUCAGUCGUGAGGAAGGUAGUGUAGUUAAUAGCUGCAUUAUUUGACGUUAGCGACAGAAGAAGCACCGGCUAACUCCGUGCCAGCAGCCGCGGUAAUACGGAGGGUGCGAGCGUUAAUCGGAAUUACUGGGCGUAAAGCGCAUGCAGGUGGUUUGUUAAGUCAGAUGUGAAAGCCCGGGGCUCAACCUCGGAAUAGCAUUUGAAACUGGCAGACUAGAGUACUGUAGAGGGGGGUAGAAUUUCAGGUGUAGCGGUGAAAUGCGUAGAGAUCUGAAGGAAUACCGGUGGCGAAGGCGGCCCCCUGGACAGAUACUGACACUCAGAUGCGAAAGCGUGGGGAGCAAACAGGAUUAGAUACCCUGGUAGUCCACGCCGUAAACGAUGUCUACUUGGAGGUUGUGGCCUUGAGCCGUGGCUUUCGGAGCUAACGCGUUAAGUAGACCGCCUGGGGAGUACGGUCGCAAGAUUAAAACUCAAAGGAAUUGACGG